UCAGAAGUUAAGCAUUGUAGAGCCAGGUCAGUACUUAGAUGGGGGACCGCUUGGGAACACCUGGUACUGUAAGC